rnacentral:rRNA from 1 species
GACCAAUGUUGGCGGCGCGCUUAACACAAGCAAGCCGAACGGAAAGUUUUUUUGCUUGCAAGGGGUACUCGAGUGGCGAACGGGUGAGUAACACGUGGGUGAUCUGCCUUGCACUUCGGGAUAAGCCUGGGAAACUGGGUCUAAUACCGGAUAGGACCAUGCUUUAGUGUGUGUGGUGGAAAGUUUUUUCGGUGCAAGAUGAGCCCGCGGCCUAUCAUCUUGUUGGUGGGGUAAUGGCCUACCAAGGCGACGACGGGUAGCCGGCCUGAGAGGGUGUACGGCCACAUUGGGACUGAGACACGGCCCAUACUCCUACGGGAGGCAGGAGUGGGGAAUAUUGCACAAUGGGCGCAAGCCUGAUGCACCCACGCCGCGUGAGGGAUGACGGCCUUCGGGUUGUAAACUCCUUUCGCCAGGGAAGAAGCCACUGUGCGGUGACGGUACCUGGAUAAGAAGCACCGGCUAACUACGUGCCAACAGCCGCGGUAAUACGUAUGGUGCGAGCGUUGCCCGGAAUUACUGGGCUUAAAGAGCUCGUAGGUGGUUUGUCGCGUCGUCUGUGAAAUCCCGGGAGCUUAACUUCGGGCGUGCAGGCGAUACGGGCAUAACUAGAGUGCUGUAAGGGAGACUGGAAUUCCUGGUGUAGCGGUGAAAUGCGCAGAUAUCAGGAGGAACACCGAUGGCGAAGGCAGGUCUCUGGGCAGUUACUGACGCUGAGGAGCGAAAGCAUGGGUAGCGAACAGGAUUAGAUACCCUGGUAGUCCAUGCCGUAAACGGUGGGCGCUAGGUGUGGGGGUUUUAUUUACGAUUCCCGUGCCGUAGCUAACGCAUUAAGCGCCCCGCCUGGGGAGUACGGCCGCAAGGCUAAAACUCAAAGGAAUUGACGGGGGCCCGCACAAGCGGCGGAGCAUGUGGAUUAAUUCGAUGCAACGCGAAGAACCUUACCUGGGCUUGACAUACACCGGAUCGCUGCAGAGAUGUAGUUUCCCUUGUGGCUGGUGUACAGGUGGUGCAUGGUUGUCGUCAGCUCGUGUCGUGAGAUGUUGGGUUAAGUCCCGCAACGAGCGCAACCCUUGUCUUGUGUUGCCAGCACGUUAUGGUGGGGACUCGCGAGAGACUGCCGGGGUUAACUCGGAGGAAGGUGGGGAUGACGUCAAAUCAUCAUGCCCCUUAUGUCCAGGGCUUCACACAUGCUACAAUGGUCGGUACAGUGGGUUGCGGUACCGUGAGGUGGAGCUAAUCCCUUAAAGCCGGUCUCAGUUCGGAUUGGAGUUUGCAACUCCGACUCCAUGAAGUCGGAGUCGUUAGUAAUAAAAGAUCAGCAACGCUGCGGUGAAUACGUUCCCGGGCCU